GAUGAACGCUGGCGGCGUGCUUAACACAUGCAAGUCGAACGAAGCACUUUAUUUGAUUUCCUUCGGGACUGAUUAUUUUGUGACUGAGUGGCGGACGGGUGAGUAACGCGUGGGUAACCUGCCUUGUACAGGGGGAUAACAGUUGGAAACGGCUGCUAAUACCGCAUAAGCGCACAGCAUCGCAUGAUGCAGUGUGAAAAACUCCGGUGGUAUAAGAUGGACCCGCGUUGGAUUAGCUAGUUGGUGAGGUAACGGCCCACCAAGGCGACGAUCCAUAGCCGAGCUGAGAGGGUGACCGGCCACAUUGGGACUGAGACACGGCCCAGACUCCUACGGGAGGCAGCAGUGGGGAAUAUUGCACAAUGGGCGAAAGCCUGAUGCAGCGACGCCGCGUGAGCGAAGAAGUAUGUCGGUAUGUAAAGCUCUAUCAGCAGGGAAGAUAAUGACGGUACCUGACGAAGAAGCACCGGCUAAAUACGUG
rnacentral:rRNA from 1 species